AACGAACGCUGGCGGCAGGCUUAACACAUGCAAGUCGAACGGGUGUAGCAAUACAUCAGUGGCAGACGGGUGAGUAACACGUGGGAACCUUCCUAGGGGUACGGAACAACUCAGGGAAACUUGAGCUAAUACCGUAUACGUCCGUGAGGAGAAAGAUUUAUCGCCCUUAGACGGGCCCGCGUCGGAUUAGGUAGUUGGUGGGGUAACGGCCUACCAAGCCGACGAUCCGUAGCUGAUCUGAGAGGAUGAUCAGCCACACGGGGACUGAGACACGGCCCAGACUCCUACGGGAGGCAGCAGUGGGGAAUCUUGGACAAUGGGCGCAAGCCUGAUCCAGCCAUGCCGCGUGAGUGAAGAAGGCCUUGGGGUUGUAAAGCUCUUUUGGCAGGGACGAUAAUGACGGUACCUGCAGAAUAAGCCCCGGCAAACUUCGUGCCAGCAGCCGCCGUAACAC
rnacentral:rRNA from 1 species